UUGCCUUAAACUAAUGAGUAAGGAAAACAAAGCGAGCAGUGAGAGUUGCUCGCCGUGUCAUGCAUGAAUGUGCACACGAAUUUAUGGAGGGGUUAUAGGCUGGCCUAGCGUUGACGCUGCUUACUUUGCAGAACUCGCUUGUGCGGGCCUCCC
rnacentral:snRNA from 1 species